rnacentral:rRNA from 1 species
GAUGAACGCUGGCGGCGUGCCUAAUACAUGCAAGUCGAGCGAACGGACGAGAAGCUUGCUUCUCUGAUGUUAGCGGCGGACGGGUGAGUAACACGUGGAUAACCUACCUAUAAGACUGGGAUAACUUCGGGAAACCGGAGCUAAUACCGGAUAAUAUUUUAAACCGCAUGGUUCAAAAGUGAAAGACGGUCUUGCUGUCACUUAUAGAUGGAUCCGCGCUGCAUUAGCUAGUUGGUAAGGUAACGGCUUACCAAGGCAACGAUGCAUAGCCGACCUGAGAGGGUGAUCGGCCACACUGGAACUUAGACACGGUCCAGACUCCUACGGGAGGCAGCAGUAGGGAAUCUUCCGCAAUGGGCGAAAGCCUGACGGAGCAACGCCGCGUGAGUGAUGAAGGUCUUCGGAUCGUAAAACUCUGUUAUUAGGGAAGAACAUAUGUGUAAGUAACUGUGCACAUCUUGACGGUACCUAAUCAGAAAGCCACGGCUAACUACGUG